rnacentral:pre_miRNA from 1 species
AGUUAAAAAUUUCAUCCAUUUGUAUUGUUAAAAAGUGGUGUGGUUGAUAGAAUAAUUAGAUAGUGACACAUGGCAUGUCACAUGUACAUCAUACUGAAGUAUAUGGAUAAGUUUUUAACAGUAAAAAUGAAUGGAAUUUAUAACA